rnacentral:rRNA from 1 species
AGCCCAUUAGCUAGCUCGCACCCCAAAAUGCAACAAUCCAUUGUAAAUAACCCCUAACCACACCUUAUACCCCUAAGACCAAACCAUUUUUCCCCCUAAGUAUGGGCGACAGAAAAGGAUAAGUCGGAGCAACAGAAACAGUACCGCAAGGGAACGCUGAAAGAGAAAUGAAACAAAUCAGUAAAGCACAAAAAAGUAGAGUUUAAUCCUCGUACCUUUUGCAUCAUGAUUUAGCAAGUAGCAGUCAAGCGAAGAGCACUUUAGUUUGACACCCCGAAACCAAGUGAGCUACUCCAAGACAGCCUCUAAGGGCGCACCCGUCUCUGUGGCAAAAGAGUGGGAAGAUCUUUGAGUAGAGGUGACAGACCUACCGAACUUGGUUAUAGCUGGUUGCCCAGGAAAUGAAUAGGAGUUCAGCCUUUUGCCUUCUUUCCACACAUGCCGGUUACACCGAAAGCAUUUAAGCAGGUCAAAAGAGUUAGUCAAAGGGGGUACAGCCCCUUUGAAAAAGAUACAACUUUACCAGAAGGGUUAAGAUCACAGCACUUAUUAAGGGAACGUGUUCUAGUUGGCCUAAGAGCAGCCACCCAAGCAGAAAGCGUUAAAGCUCAAACACCUCCCCGCCCCUAUUAUCCGGAUCACAUUAAUCUUACCCCCCUAAACAUACUGAGCCUUCCCAUACACCUAUGGGAGAGAUUAUGCUAAUAUGAGUAAUAAGAGAUCCCCGCAUCUCUCCCUGCACAAGUAUAUAUCGGAACGAACUAACACCGACAAUUAACGGCCCCAAGAAAGAGGGAACUGAAAUAUUAUGGCCAGGCCACUAGAAGACCAUCCACCCCCUAACCGUUAACCUUACACCAGAGUGCACUCAAGGAAAGACUAAAAGAAAAAGAAGGAACUCGGCA